rnacentral:rRNA from 1 species
AUGGGCAAGGACUGCGGCAACCACGGCGACGACCACCUCCGGAACGGCUGCCGGCGCCUCCUGGCCGUGCUCCUGGUCCUGGCCUUCAUCGUCGCCAUCAUCACCCUCAUCGUCUACUUGGUGCUCCGCCCCACCCACCCGCGCUUUUUCCUCCAGGACGCCUCCCUCCGGCAGCUCAACCUCUCCAACUCCUCGGGCCUCCUCUCCACCUCCAUCCAGGUCACCGUCGCCUCCCGCAACCCCAACGACCGCGUCGGUGUCUACUACGACCGCCUCGACGUCUACGCCUCCUACAAGUACCAGCAGAUCACCGUCGCCGCCUCGCUCCCGGCGGUCUACCAGGGCCACGGCGACGUCGACGUAUGGUCACCAGUUCUCGACGGGCCCAACGUGCCCUUCGCGCCGUACCUCGCCAGCGCCAUCUCCCAGGACUGCCAGGCUGGCUAUCUCAUCCUCCAGGUCAAGAUCGACGGCCGCGUCAGGUGGAAGGUCGGCAGCUGGAUCUCCGGCCACUACCACCUCUUCGUCACCUGCCCAGCCUUCCUCGUCACCAGCGGCGGCAACGGCGCACCAGGGGCUAGCGGGUUCAAGUUCCAGACGACCACUUACUGCCACGUAGAGGUCUAG